rnacentral:lncRNA from 1 species
AUAUAUCUCAGUUGGUAUUUGUGUUUAACAACUUUGUUCUAAAGUUGUAAAUUUUUAAUCUGAAAAGGGAAACUAGAAUACAAGAAUCUUAAACUUUGCAUGACUACGAUACAACCACAAUAAAGGCAAGAACUAUGUUUCUUUUUUUGAGUAAAGGCAAGAACUAUGUUAAAUAACUAGAAUACAAGAAUCGUAAAAAACCAAAAUAACUUUACACUGAGUUAGAAAUGUUAAAUAGAGAUAGCACAAUAAAGGCAAGAACUAUGAACACACCACAAUACAACCACAUAAACAAGAUGACUUUGGAAAAUAAUACUAAAAAGAAAGGAAGAAAAACGGGAGCAGAGGACUUUAACUUUGCAUGACUACGCAGAACUACUGAGAUUUUCAGUAAGCAACAUUACUAACAUGAAGGACCAAAUAACUUUUCGACAAUACCUGUAGCAGUUCCAAUUCCCAUUAACGAAGAACCGGCACUAGCCAUAAUAGCUCUCACAUCUGCAAAAUCUACAUUUACUAACCCUGGAAUCUGCAAGAAAAGCAAGUGGAUUUGAAUCGCAUUUUCUUGCUUGAGAAUGGAAAGGAAAAUAGUAAAUCAUAUGAAGAACAAUUUAAUAAGUUUCAGAGCUGGAAAUUUUACAAAGCAAAGCACGUAUUAUAAUGUGCAAGCAAGAGCCCACAUAUCAUUCAGGCGUGCAAGCCACCAACAAAAUUCACUCAGCAUAUGCAUGGCUAUAAACUCCUAUUUACAUCCUUGUAUGUAUGCCAUCAUCAUCAGCCAUACCGUGAUAAUAUCGGAGAUACCGCGAACUCCUUGUCGAAGAAUAUCAUCAGCAAGGUUGAAUGCAUCUGUUACUGGUGUGGAUGGAGAAACUGCAGUCAGCAAUUUAUCAUUUGGAAUGACAAUUAGGGUAUCAACAUUUUCUCUUAAAGCUGCGAUUCCUUCUUGGGCUUGAACAGCUCUUCUUCGUCCUUCAAACGAGAAUGGAGUGGUAACUAUACCAACAGUCAAAAUGCCCAUAGAUUUUGCAAUUCCAGCAAUUACAGGAGCUCCCCCGGUGCCUGUUCCCCCACCCAUUCCAGCCUGCGAGCAUUAGAAGACUAGUGAAGGCUUAACCAAAACAAGGAGAAGCAUACCGCACAAAGAUUAAAAUUUUGCAAGGUAAUGGAGGUAGAUAUCACUUUUCCUUUAAUUCAUUCCAAGUAUAAUAGGCUUGAAAUUCGCAGGAAACAAUAGUGUUUCAAACAUUUCUUAAACAGUAUAGUCCUUCAGGCCAUAAAAUGUAAGAAAAUUAACUAAAGCUAAUUUCUGAGAUUUUUGGUUUUUGAUUUGUAAUUAAUAUGAUGGAUAAGAAAAAGUUAAGAUUUCAAUGGACAUUCUGGUUAUGUUUACAUUGUACAUAUUAAAAUUUCUAACCAACCAAAACAAGUCAAAAAUCUAGGAAAGCAUUUUCCAAAUGGAUGAAAGAAAGAAAUCAUCAAUAAAAAUAUCCUAACAAGAAGGUUUAAAUUGAUUAUCUUUCUAUAAUUUCAUCUCAGGAAUUAUCACUUUGAAGAGACAGCAUCUGAUCUAUCAUGAUAAGACUGCAAUUAUCACAGAGACUAGAACAACAUUAAUGAAUGACAUGUUUGAAGGAAAAAAAAAGUGACACACUAACUUACAGUCACAAAGACCAUGUCUGCUCCAUUAACUGCCUCCUCUAUCGCUGCUUUGCUUUCAUUAGCAGCACUCAUACCAACUUCUGGGUUCCCACCAGCACCAAGUCCUCGAGUAAGCUCUCCACCAAUCUGAAGGCGAUGCUCAGGAAAGAUGGGUGACAUCCUCAUGGCUUGUAUGUCAGUGUUAACUAUCCAGAACUCUACCCCCUUCAUUGCACUCUCUAUCAUGCGGUUAACUGCAUUGGAUCCACCACCUCCAACGCCAAUAACCUUGAUCUUGGCUUCACUAUAAUUGUUCAAAGUAGAUAAGUCUCUCACACUCUCAGUAACAUUUCCACUCGAAGAAUCCUGUCUUGGGUUAAUCAUGGUAGUGCUCGUCUCACCUCUAAGCAUCGAGAUCUCAGGGUGUACGUUCAGAAACGAGUCCUUGCUUUGAAAUUGAUUCACACUAUGGGAAUUGGCCGAACAUUUCAGCUGUGGGAUACCUGAACCACAUUUUUGAGUGACACCCGAAAACCCAUUCCUUUCUUCAACAAUUUUCAAUGGGGAAACUCUCCCUCCAAGAACAGUCAAUACCCCGACCCGCCUCCCAGCAUCCGGAGGUGUGAAAUAAGGGGAAGUGCAUGUAGCCAUUGAUGAAAAUAUCAAACUCCAACUUGCUUUAUCUGUUUACAGCACCUAUAUAUGCAGAAAACCUAUCAGCUAUACCUCAAUUUCAACCUUUCUUUCUGUUUCUCAAUUCCUGUGCAUAGUCAGAGAUAGCAAGAAUGCGCCUGGUAAAAGCAAUUAAUACCCAAAAAUAACUGAAAGGGGCUCUUAAUAAAACCCAAUUAAAUAAGUAAAAUCAAUACCCUAAGUCAACAACUUAAUUAGAAAAAAAGGGAAACAAACAACUGCAAAAUCACCACUAACAACAACAGCAUUCUAAUUUCAAUAGGGAAAAAGAAAAUGAAACCAAAGCUGAAUCCUUGCAGUUCACCUGAAUGUUUCUUGUUUGCAAAGCUACGAAACGAUGGAAUUUGUGUGAUGGGAUUUCUUCUUUAUGUUUUUCCCUUCCAAUGCCGGAUUAGUUGGCAAAACCAAACCUGCAUUUAGUAGUUGUCACUAAGAAAUUAGUCAAACGAGCAGUAAAUAAAAUUGCAGAGAGAGAGAGAGAGAGACUGAUUGGCGCCGUCAAAUUGUUGUUGGAAAUGCAGGCUACAAUAGAGAUGGGGAUAGUGUGUGUGGAGCAUUCAUUAAAUUAGAAAACGAGAGAAAAUAAUCUAUUCAAGGAAAGUGUCAACCCACCAUUUUCAUUUAUUUUGCAGAAGAAAAAAAGAAAAAGGAAGCAUUUAUAUUUGAUGUUUGGCUUUAUUUUGGAAAAAGCAGUACCCUUAUCAGUUAUCAGCCGGGGUUUUAGUUGAUUGGUUGCCUUCUGAUUUUCUUUUCUUGACUAAUUCCCCAUUCACUAAGGCUUUAUCUACUUAAAUUAAUUUAAUUUUAUCAUCUAUAAUUUAUAAUAUAUUUUAAAAAAUUGAAAAAUCAAUUUCAUAGCGAUUUUAAAAUUAAAUACUCGUAAUUUUAUGAUUAAAAUAAAAAAUUAAAGAUUAUUUUUAUACUAUAUUUAUCCUUUUGUAUUCCUCUUUCCUAUGGUCAUAGAUUACACAACACAA